AAUUUACUAUAUAAAGACCAUUAGAUGCUGUAUGUUUGUAUCAAGAUCUUUGUUUGAUAGAUACAGGACUAACUUUGAAGCAUGAUGAGAGCCUACAUUGGUGUUUGUUUUAUCUUAUUAUGUUUGACAGGAUUGAAGUAUGCUGACGCUGCCAAAAAGUGUUUUAGUAUGGUGGACUGUGGAAUCUUUGCUGGUGGUUGCCGAUCAAUCUGUGUUGAAAAAUUGUGUGUCGGUUCACACGAGUGCGUCGGAAACAUGGAAUGCUGCUGUGGGGGUUGUAUAUUAAAAUAAUCAGAAAAGACAUACAGAACAAGAAGGAUAUUUACCA